rnacentral:rRNA from 1 species
AUACGGAGGAUGCAAGCGUUAUCCGGAUUUAUUGGGUUUAAAGGGUGCGUAGGCGGUUUGCUAAGCGGGAGGUGAAAUGCCGGCGCUCAACGUCGGAACUGCCUCGCGAACUGGUUGUCUUGAAUGCUCCUGCCGUGGGAGGAAUGUGUAGUGUAGCGGUGAAAUGCUUAGAGAUUACACAGAACACCGAUUGCGAAGGCAUCUCACGAAGGGUUGAUUGACGCUGAGGCACGAAAGCGUGGGGAUCAAACAGGAUUAGAUACCCUGGUAGUCCACGCAGUAAACGAUGAUGGCUAACCGCUGGGCUUAUCAGUUCAGUGGCCAAGCGAAAGCGAUAAGCCAUCCACCUGGGGAGUACGACCGCAAGGUUGAAACUCAAAUGAAUUGACGGGG